rnacentral:tRNA from 3 species
CGGUCGCUUAGCUCAGUUGGUUAGAGCGUGGUGCUAAUAACGCCAAGGUCGCGAGUUCGACCCUCGUAGUGACCA